rnacentral:rRNA from 1 species
CCUACGGGUGGCAGCAGUGGGGAAUAUUGGACAAUGGGCGAAAGCCUGAUCCAGCCAUGCCGCGUGUGUGAAGAAGGCCUUCGGGUUGUAAAGCACUUUCAGUGGGGAAGAAAGCCUUGGGGCUAAUACCCUCGAGGAAGGACAUCACCCACAGAAGAAGCACCGGCUAACUCCGUGCCAGCAGCCGCGGUAAUACGGAGGGUGCGAGCGUUAAUCGGAAUUACUGGGCGUAAAGCGCGCGUAGGCGGUCUGAUAAGCCGGUUGUGAAAGCCCCGGGCUCAACCUGGGAACGGCAUCCGGAACUGUCAGGCUAGAGUGCAGGAGAGGAAGGUAGAAUUCCCGGUGUAGCGGUGAAAUGCGUAGAGAUCGGGAGGAAUACCAGUGGCGAAGGCGGCCUUCUGGACUGACAUUGACGCUGAGGUGCGAAAGCGUGGGUAGCAAACAGGAUUAGAUACCCCAGUAGUC